GGCUGUUUCAAAGGCCCUGAAUUCGAUCACUUAGUUCGAACGUGGGUUCUACGAGGCAUAGAACACGAUCCCCCGCCCGCCGCCGAUCCACGUGAGCCGGCUGAUUGCGCAAUAGUGCACGCUGACUUUGACUCCCGUGCAGGCAUGCAUAUCCGGGUCACAGGCGCUUCAUAUUUCAGAGGCAACAUGGCCACGGUAGAAGGAACACGUGAACGUAAAAAAACACCCGAAAAUGCGCAUUUUCUUGGUCAGAGCCGCAUUUUCCCCCGUAGAAGAGUGGAUAAGUGCCUUCGUCAUUGAACAUCCGACUUAGGCUUGACAAGUGCUGGGAGAAAAUGAAGUACCAGGAAUGAGAAGAGGAUGACAACUCACACAAGUCCUUAUUCAAGGUAGCCCCAAGAUAUGUGUGCAUAUGUAUAAAUCAUUUGUAUUUAUAAUAACCUGCAUCUACAUGUAGAGACAACUAUAUUCUGGACAUUCUGAGAACUUGUGACAGGUUGCAGGGAAUGUUUAAUUGUCAGUGUAAAUAAUAAAGGUCUUAGGAAGUGUGAAUAAUGAAGACCAACUUGACCAGAACAAAAAAUUAUAAGCACAGUUGUAUAUUCCUCAGCUCAGUGAAGUCAUAUACCACAUUAGGUGUGAACAUUUUACAACCUUGUUGACUUUUAAUGCAGAAGUUAUACUAUGCAAGAAUGCAUUCUGCAAGUAGUUCUUUCAUGUGGGCUGCAUGUAUUUUCACUUCCCAUUUACCCAAUGUUUGCCUCAGUUUCACAAUCUAUUUUGUAUCUCUACUACAGGCCACACUAUGCUGACAACAAAUUGCAUGCUGCAUCCUUUAUUCAAAACAAGUCUUUACAAGGAUCAUGAACUAAUUUAUACAAUGCAACAAGAUAAGUGAGUUAAAAAGGUUACUUCACGGAAGCAAAAUUCCUCUUUUAAUCUGUCAACAGACUGAACAUUUGUCAUAUCAUGAUGCUAGGAGGCAGUGAUAUGUGGAAUAACUGUCACCAAUCUUAGUCUGUAUUUAACAUAAAUGCACACAAACCAUGCAAGGUGACAAGUUCAUUUACUAGGGGAAACUGAACUGCAGCUAGCAGUGGUGAUGUAAAAAUCUAGCUAGUGAGUCAACUCUGGGACAUCACAGAACCUGGCAUGGACAUUGAGGAAGUUGGAGUUGGACACUAUCCACAUUCUGACAGGACUCUCUUAGUAGCCACCAUGGACAGCAGUAUGACCUGUAGCCAAGCAAGAACAUGGGGAAGAUUUGUGUUAAAUGCUGCAAUAUGCUACAUGUCUGAAUAAAGAUAUCUGUAGAUAAAGUAUGUUUCAUUCCAUACCACUAAUUUAGACAAAUCUCAUUUUCUACGGCUACCUAGUAUUAAUCUGAUCAGGUUUAGGAUGCAAACAAUGUUGUCAUUCAUAUGCAUAAAUGUCUUAUGAUGCAUCCUUGUCUCUCUGACCUGUAAAAGGUAUGAGUAAGGAGAUAUUACAUGUAGCAGUACAACUAUAAGGAAAGGUAGAAGGUAAGGGCAAAAGCACCAACAUAGUGUUUCUGAAAUGAAAUUAUAGCUUAUCUGCAUACUAUAUCAAAUUAAGGGACUAAAACAACAGGGCUGGGGAAAAGGAUAUGCACAAAAAGUUGCAUGGUAUGUUUCACCCUACAUGGGUGGCUUCAGAUUGAGAGUAUUGCUGAUAACAAAUCAGAAUCAACAUGUCAGAAAGGAAAGUAAGUUAAUUUAGCUUUAUGCAAAAAAGAGCAAGCUAGGAUGAGAAAUAAAGAAUGCAAAUCUCCAUCA